rnacentral:lncRNA from 1 species
ACACAGCAGAAUCUUGAGAGGGAGAGGCAGAGCCUAGAGACCCUCAAGGGAGAGAUGUCUGCAAAUGAUGGGACUGUGGGACUGUGGAACAGUGGGUCAGAUGUCCGGGACUGGGCUAAACAUGAACCCCCUGCAGCCAGUAAUGAUUCUCUGCUACAAGUGAGAUCAAGAAUUGAGGAGACUUCUCUGGGCCUAAGGCAGCAUAGGGCACGGCUUUAUAGCCAAACAGGUACAAAGUUUGUGAAAGACAUCAAAUGUUUUAACAAUGUUUUUCACAUUUGAUUAUUAUCGGAAUGUGUCUUCUCUGAUGUCUCCCAGACAGCAACUAAGGACGCUCUGUGAUCCGCAACCACAUGUGGAGGGAGCAGAAACAGCUUGAGAUCUAUGUGGCUCAACAUGAUACAAUGGUCCAACCCCAAGAGCAAAUCGGCCCUGUCAGUAACACAGUACAAGCUGGCUACAUAUUUCCUUGGCAGUUAACCCCCAGUGAUGGUGUGGAUUUCCUUGCCAAAAAAAAGAUUUUUGAUGAGGUAAUGCACAUAAGAAGACUUGAGGAGGAAGUGAUGAUCCUUGCUACAGAAGUAAGGCAACACUGGGAGUUCCUCAAGAGAAGGGAGCAGACAUUGAGUGGUCUAUCCAUCAGCACUGAGGGUAAGCCAUUACCCAUUACAAUAAAAACAUCAACAGAUCACACUCAUCUACCCAUAGCUGUAUUUUUCUUCCAUAGAAAGAUUUAAGUAGUCUGUUUUGCUGAUUUUUUUAAUGCCAUUUUCAGGACUCAAACAGAUCUCACAUGCAUCUCACUUAUGUGAUCUAUGUAUGUGUGUAACAUACAGGAAACUUGCAUGUAUUUCAAAGAAGAAAAAUAUAAAUGUAAUUUUGACUUUUUGAACAUUUUGUUAAUUACUAUGACGGUAGCCACGGCAGCCUCUCUGAAGAAGGACUUUGAGGUCUUCAGGCAGAGUUCAACAGAAGGAGGUCUCAGCUGCAGUCUCACCUUAUCACUGUUAGAAAUAAAUACUUGCAAGUGGUAAGGGCAGGACUUGAUGGGUCUGCACUGGACCUUGAAGAGGGAGAAGAGCAGUUUGAGGAGCAAGAUCUAGCAAGUGAUGUGGAGAGCUACUCGGAUGAGGAGGACAUGGACAUGCAGGUAAUUAAGGACAUGAGAUUGUACACAAGCAAAUUACUGUAUGUCAUAGAUAUUGACAUGGGUUGACAUUGUUUGAUUAUUCUGUGACAAAUGCAGUGCUCUAGGUUUGUGUUUAACUAAUUCCUGUUUAUCUUCUCUUUUUCUCCCAAAUAAUAAAUGGACUGGACAGUGCAGUUGGGGAAUAGAAUCCAGAGGACAACAUACUCCUAAUGACAUGCCCAUUGAAACUGAGUCUGGCACUUAGAGAUUUGUUUUUAUGAAAAGUGCAUUACAAAUCAAAUGUAUUAUUAUUGUUACGAUGUAUUUCUAUAUGUUGUUGUUGUUGUUGUUAUGAUAAUACUGAAAUAGAUCAUAGAUAGAUGUGAUCUCAAGUGGACAGGUCUAAGUACAGACAGCUGUGAAUACACCUAAUGUGUCUUUAAUGCAUCUUGAGAUCAAAUCACUCAGACCACAUUCAGAGGUGAUCCAAAAAAGUCACAUUUACAGUAUUUACAGCAAAUAUUUGAUAUUCUGCGUAAUGUUGUAGUGUCACUGCCUGUGAUCUUGUCGAAUGUUUAUUGUUUAUUUGUUUUGGUUUGCUGGUUCAAUCCCAACACCCUGUAUAUCCCAGUCAGGGAUGGACCAUAACUCUGUAUAUUCACUUGAAUACUUACUGUAGACCCUGAAUGUACUUUUGACCCCAUGACGUGUCUAUGAAGGUUCAUGGUACUUUGAGCCUGUUUUGAAAUCAGUGGAUGAAUUUUCUUUUCUUUCCUAAGAAUAGGCAAUAAACUGUUUGUCACAAGAGAAUUACCAAUCAUGUUAACUGGCAGUCAAGUUUAAAGUGCUUGCAUUUUUUUUUUUUGAAAAGUUCGAUUCGAACUUGGAUGAAGAUUCCUCACCAAAGCAUGUCUGUAUGGCUUUAUCUCUUCACAAUGAAGAAAUGAAGAAAGAUUCAUAUUGUUUGAAAUGUUUGCUCUGUUUACGGCACACAAACAUUGUAGCAUAUGCUACAAAGUCCUCAGUUUUAUUGUAUAGGUUCUACAAGGAAGUCAGUGCAUUCAGUGGAUUGUCUGAGUCAUUAGGUUUUGCAAAUGCAUUGUGGUAACAACACAUUAAAGAAUGCCUGAAUACUUAAAAACAAGCACUUGGAACACAAAUAAAGUUUGACCAGAUGUACAGUAUGUAGUAUGUAGCUAUGCUUUGACUCAAUUAAAUGCAGUUGUGUACUUUGUCCACCUCUUUUUGAAUGUUUAUUCAUUGUCUCUUCAUGGGUCACAUAAAAAAUAAAUAAAUAAUUUUAAUAGUCAUUCAUGCCUCAUCAUUCCUGCACUGAGGACACUUAAUUUAGAAAGAUAGAAAUAUUGAUGUUUAAUUUAAAAACAUCUCAAGUUUGAGUUUAUUUGCACAUUAAAAAGGAAAAUGAAGCUCACAGGCUACAUGAAAAAUGAGGACACAGGCCCUAUUAAUUUCUAUUGUCU